UACGUAGGGAGCAAGCGUUGUCCGGAAUCAUUGGGCGUAAAGCGCGCGUAGGUGGCCACAUAAGUCCGUUGUGAAAGUCAAAGGCUCAACCUUUGAAAGCCGAUGGAUACUGUGUGGCUAGAGUACGGAAGAGGCGAGUGGAAUUCCUGGUGUAGCGGUGGAAUGCGCAGAUAUCAGGAGGAACACCGGUGGCGAAGGCGGGAUCCUGGGCCAGUACUGACGCUGAGGAGCGAAAGCGUGGGGAGCAAACAGG
rnacentral:rRNA from 1 species